rnacentral:misc_RNA from 1 species
AAGUCGUAACAAGGUUUCCGUAGGUGAACCUGCGGAAGGAUCAUUACCUUUCAAUGCAGAAGAGUUGAGAUGGUUGAGUAUCUCGCCUCUCAAUUCUCGCUGUAUUUUACCCUUGUUUUUCUCAUACUAUUAUUUCCUCGGAAGGCUCGCCUGCCGGGUGAAACAACUUCAAACCUGUUUAAUUUUCAAUCAGCGUCUGAACAAAUUAAUAAUUACAACUUUCAACAACGGAUCUCUUGGUUCUG